rnacentral:rRNA from 1 species
UAACACAUGCAAGUCGAGCGGCAGCGGAAAGUAGCUUGCUACCUUGCCGGCGAGCGGCGGACGGGUGAGUAAUGUCUGGGAAACUGCCUGAUGGAGGGGGAUAACUACUGGAAACGGUAGCUAAUACCGCAUAACGUCGCAAGACCAAAGAGGGGGACCUUCGGGCCUCUUGCCAUCAGAUGUGCCCAGAUGGGAUUAGCUAGUAGGUGGGGUAACGGCUCACCUAGGCGACGAUCCCUAGCUGGUCUGAGAGGAUGACCAGCCACACUGGAACUGAGACACGGUCCAGACUCCUACGGGAGGCAGCAGUGGGGAAUAUUGCACAAUGGGCGCAAGCCUGAUGCAGCCAUGCCGCGUGUAUGAAGAAGGCCUUCGGGUUGUAAAGUACUUUCAGCGAGGAGGAAGGUGUUGAGGUUAAUAACCUCAGCAAUUGACGUUACUCGCAGA